rnacentral:rRNA from 1 species
CAAUAGCGUAUAUUAAAGUUGUUGCAGUUAGAACGCUCGUAGUCGGAUUUCGGGGCGGGUCGACCGGUCUGCCGAUGGGUACGCACUGGCCGACGCGUCCUUUUUGCCGGAGACCGUCCCUACUCUUAACUGAGCGGGGUCGGGAGACGGCACUUUUACUUUGAAAAAAUCAGAGUGUUUCAAGCAGGCAGCUCGCUCUUGCAUGGAUUAGCAUGGGAUAAUGAAAUAGGACUUUGGUGCUAUUUUGUUGGUUUCGAACACCGAAGUAAUGAUGAGAAGGGACAGUCAGGGGCACUCGUAUUCCGCCGAGAGAGGUGAAAUUCUCAGACCAGCGGAAGACGAACCACUGCGAANGNAUUUGCNAGGGAUGUUUNCACUG